CGUUGGUAUCGCAGAGGGCGCCACUGCGGCCGGCCAUCACCGCGAAGGACAGGAGCUGGCGACCGACUUGCCGGACAGACACGAGAACCCGGACGUGCCUGACUGCAGGCUCGACAUUGAACCCCUGGAGAUAAUUCAGUUUGUAUGUACUUACUUGUACUGCUGGCUGUCGAGCGUCUCAUGGAAAUACACCAGCUGCGCGGCGCGGGGCGUGGAGUCCAGCAGCUCACAGCGCCACUGCAGCACGUAGCUGCCACUUUCUGUCAUCACGUGGGAGCCCUGCACGGACAUACAUGGCUCCUUAGGGUGAGUUGCAUCAGUCCAUUUUGAAGUUUACUUUGACAAAAGGGUUAAUAGUUUGCCGAUUUCCUGCCCAUGUUAAAGCUAAUUUCAAAACCUGUGCAACUGAACCUUAAGCAGCGACCAUUUUUUCACAGUCAUUGAGUUAGUUAAGUUUUUAUAUAAUUAGAUUUUAUUUUAUAUAAUAGAGAUUUUAUAUUUCAAUGUGCGGUGUAUAUUUUAUGGUUUCCUGAAUCGCACGAGUCGUUUUCAGUAAUCAUUGUGAAAUCAUUUUAAUUAAAUUCGUUCCUCGUC